ensembl:lncRNA
GUUUUUGUUUAAUAGCACUUAUUUAUGUUAUUUAAUAAUUUAUUUCUCUUGGGCAAUUUUCCCUUUGAUUCAAAUUGAUUACAUAACCCUAACCCUUGGAUUCCGAUAACUAGCCCUAGCCCUAACCCUAACCAUUGGAUUUCAUUACCUAAUCUUAACCCUAGUCCUUUGAUCCUGACGUUGUCGUGUCUGACCCUGAUCCGUUUCUUUUAUCCUAACCUUAACCUCUAGAUUCCUGGACCUAAUCCUAACCCCUUAUCCCUAAUCUGGGUGUUUUUUUCUUUGGGGUUCCUGAAAUUUGGGGGUUGAGGGAUCUAUUUGGCUCCUUUAAGUAUUUAUGCCGACCCUUAGCCUUGGAUCUAAAAUUUGAGAGUGGACCUUUUAAUUGAGACUUGUUCCCUCAGUUUGGGCCUUUGUAUUUUGACAAAAUGUGAUGCCCUAUUGGCAAUAAUGGUUUUUCUCUUGUUUCUUUUUCUUUGGUGAAAAGGGGUUAUUUAUUGAUUGAUAUAUCCCCUUUUCCCUUGUUUUUGGAAUAUUGUUUUAAAUGUCCCCAGUCACAAAAGUAUUUGCAGACUAGUCCUACCAUUUUUUUUAAAAGUAUAGCUUGUGCCAGAGCACACCAGAUUAGUCUGUUUAUUAAAUAACCUAACCCUGACCAUAGCAUAUGACCCUGAUCAUAACUAUGACCCUGACCAUAGCUUUAACCCUGACCCUAGCCCUGACAAUAGCUAUGACCCUGACCAUAGCUUUAACCCUGACCCUAGCCCUGACCAUAUUAUAUGACCCUGACCCUAACCCUGACCUUAGCAUAUGAAGGUAUUUCUUACACUUUUUCUGGAUUCUUGGACCUCUUAAAUUGUCUAAAAGAGAAAGCUCCAGUAAGCACCACAACCUGGAAGAAGGAAAAACUAAGGAACAGCAAUAUGGUAGAACUUACCGUAUGAGGGGAAUCCUUACUGGCCUUUGGAACUGUUGGACUCCAAGUUUAUCCGAAAGGAAGUCCCAGUGAGAACAUAAACCUGGAAAAGUAUCAAGGAUCCUUGGUCUUCAAGUUUAACUGAAAGGGAGUCCCAGAAAGGACAAAAACCUGGAAAUGAGUAAGGGGAGAGGAAUGAACUAAGCUUCUUUGCUGCCCUUCUUGACACCAGGCCAUCCUCCAAAAGUCUUCACCUCACUGUGCGUGCAGAUGCACUCACACCUGCCUGCUGCCAUUCCUGAACAAGCUCUGCCAUGGUGGUGCCCCGAUCCCCCAGCUGAAUCAACUUUUGGAGACGGUCCUGGUGGU